rnacentral:rRNA from 1 species
AAGUAAAAGUCGUANCAAGGUUUCCGUAGGUGAACCUGCGGAAGGAUCAUUACCUAGAGUUUGUAGACUUCGGUCUGCUACCUCUUACCCAUGUCUUUUGAGUACCUUCGUUUCCUCGGCGGGUCCGCCCGCCGAUUGGACAACAUUCAAACCCUUUGCAGUUGCAAUCAGCGUCUGAAAAAACAUAAUAGUUACAACUUUCAACAACGGAUCUCUUGGUUCUGGCAUCGAUGAAGAACGCAGCGAAAUGCGAUAAGUAGUGUGAAUUGCAGAAUUCAGUGAAUCAUCGAAUCUUUGAACGCACAUUGCGCCCCUUGGUAUUCCAUGGGGCAUGCCUGUUCGAGCGUCAUUUGUACCUUCAAGCUCUGCUUGGUGUUGGGUGUUUGUCUCGCCUCUGCGUGUAGACUCGCCUUAAAACAAUUGGCAGCCGGCGUAUUGAUUUCGGAGCGCAGUACAUCUCGCGCUUUGCACUCAUAACGACGACGUCCAAAAGUACAUUUUUACACUCUUGACCUCGGAUCAGGUAGGGA